GUGGGGAAUAUUGGGCAAUGGGCGCAAGCCUGACCCAGCAACGCCGCGUGAAGGAAGAAGGCUUUCGGGUUGUAAACUUCUUUUACCAGGGACGAAACAAAUGACGGUACCUGGUGAAUAAGCCACGGCUAACUACGUGCCAGCAGCCGCGGUAAUACGUAGGUGGCGAGCGUUAUCCGGAUUUAUUGGGUGUAAAGGGCGUGUAGGCGGGACAGCAAGUCAGAUGUGAAAACCAGAGGCUCAACCUCUGGCCUGCAUUUGAAACUGUUGUUCUUGAGUGUCGGAGAGGUAAUCGGAAUUCCGUGUGUAGCGGUGAAAUGCGUAGAUAUACGGAGGAACACCAGUGGCGAAGGCGGAUUACUGGACGAUAACUGACGCUGAGGCGCGAAAGCGUGGGGAGCAAACAGGAUUAGAAACCCCUGUAGUCC
rnacentral:rRNA from 1 species